GACAGUCUUUGCUACUGUAAACAUCCUUGACUGGAAGCUGGAAGGUGCCGAAGGAGCUUUCAGUCGGAUGUUUACAGCGGCAGGCUGCCACAGUC